rnacentral:tRNA from 2 species
GCCCGCGUGGCGGAAUUGGUAGACGCAAGGGACUUAAAAUCCCUCGGGAGGUUCUCCCAUGCCGGUUCGAUCCCGGCCGCGGGCACCA